rnacentral:rRNA from 1 species
AGAGUUUGAUCCUGGCUCAGAUUGAACGCUGGCGGCAUGGCUAAAACAUGCAAGUCGAACGCCUGUAGCAAUACAGGAGUGGCGAAAGGGCGAGGAAUAGUUUCCUAUGUACCUCAAGGUCGGGGAUACCCCGGAGAAAUCCGGAUCAAUACCCGAUGUGGUCGAGAGAUCAAAGGUUUACCGCCUUGAGAGCAGGGAAACUCCUAUCAGGUAGUUGGUGGGGUAAUGGCCCACCAAGCCGAAGACGGGUAGCGGGUGUGAGAGCACGGCCCGCCGCAUCGAGACUGAGACACUGCUCGGACUCCUACGGGAGGCUGCAGUAACGAAUCUUCCGCAAUGCGCGAAAGCGUGACGGGGCAAUGCCGCGUGCAGGAUGAAGCCCUUCGGGGUGUAAACUGCUGUCAGGGUGCAGGAAUGAAAUGACCAUACCCAAAGGAAGCACCGGCUAACUCUGUGCCAGCAGCCGCGGUAAUACAGAGGGUGCGAGCGUUAAUCGGAAUCACUGGGCUUAAAGGGUGCGUAGGCGGAUGCAUAGGCGCUUUGUGAAAUCCCACGGCUCAACCGUGGAAUUGCUUGGCGAACCAUGCGUCUUGAGGUUGGUAGAGGUCACUGGAACGAUAGGUGGAGCGGUGAAAUGCGUAGAUAUCUAUCGGAACGCCAAAGGUGAAGACAGGUGACUGGGCCAAUUCUGACGCUGAGGCACGAAAGCGUGGGGAGCAAACGGGAUUAGAUACCCCGGUAGUCCACGCUGUAAACGAUGCACACUUGGUCGGAGCGGUUUGACUCCGUUCCGGCCGUAGGAAAACUGAUGAGUGUGCCGCCUGGGGAGUACGGUCGCAAGAUUAAAACUCAAAGGAAUUGACGGGGGCUCACACAAGCGGUAGUAUCGUGAGAUGUUGGGUUAAGUCCCGCAACGAGCGCAACCCUCGUUCUGUGUUGCCAGCAUUUAGUUGGGGACUCACAGGAGACUGCCGGGGUCAACU